rnacentral:rRNA from 1 species
GACGAACGCUGGCGGCGUGCUUAACACAUGCAAGUCGAACGGAAAGGCCCUGCUUUUGUGGGGUGCUCGAGUGGCGAACGGGUGAGUAACACGUGCGUAACCUGCCCUUGACUUUGGGAUAACUUCAGGAAACUGGGGCUAAUACCGGAUAGGAGCUCCUGCUGCAUGGUGGGGGUUGGAAAGUUUCGGCGGUUGGGGAUGGACUCGCGGCUUAUCAGCUUGUUGGUGGGGUAGUGGCUUACCAAGGCUUUGACGGGUAGCCGGCCUGAGAGGGUGACCGGCGACGAUGGGACGGAGAUACGACCCAAACUCCUGCGGAGGGCAGCAGUGGGGAAUAUUGCACAAUGGGCGGAAGACGUAGGCAGCAACGCCGCGUGCGGGAUGACGGCCUUCGGGUGGUAAACCGCUUUCGCCUGUGACGAAGCGUGAGUGACGGUAAUGGGUGAAUAAGCACCGGCUAACUACGUG